GGGGGCGCGGGAGUCUCGCCUCGGCCCGCCGCUAGGGCAGUUAGAGGCGCGGGGAUCCGGGGUGAGCCGGCGGCUGCUGGGAGGCAGUGUCCAGACGCCGGCGGGGCCAGGCGGCCCGGCUCUGCUUGUCCGGUCGUGGCCUGAGAACCGGGAGGACGCUGGAGAAAAGCUGCCCUCUGAAUGUUUGUUUGGCUGCCCAGGCUCGCCUUUACUCCAAAUGUUCCGUUGAAAACAUAUACACAGGGAAAGCCUAUGACCCAGUUGUGCACCACACCCACAUUUGAGUCAGGGGCUCCUGCCCCGCACUGUGAGCGCUCUGGAUAAGCCAGUGCCGAGGGGGAAAGAGCUCUGAAUGCCAAAGCAUGAGUCUCAACUCCACCUCCAGCUCUGAGAGCUGUGGGCAGGGAAGGGCGCUAGUCCACUGUGCUGUAGAAAGACCAGUCUGCCACUGUAUGGCACAUGGAUGGCGGGGACAGAG